CUUGAUAUAGAGGGGGCUUGAUAAAUUUCUUCCUUUAUUUGAGAGGUAGGCGUAUUUGUGAAGAGGGCUCAUAAGAGAAGGCUUAUUUGGAAGGGUGCGUAUUGGAGAGGGGGGCUUGUUUGAGAGAGGGCUUAUUUAGAAGGACGGCUUAUUAGAUAGAUCUUGUUAGAGAGUGGGCUAUUAGACAUUGGGCUUAUUAGAGAGGGGCCUUAUUAAAGAGGGGCUUAUUGGAGAGGGGGCUUAUUAGAGAGGGUUUAUUAGAGG